rnacentral:snRNA from 1 species
AUCGCUUCUCAGCCUUUUGGCUAAGAUCAAGUGUAGUAUCUGUUCAAAAAUAAAUUAACAUUAAAAAAAUUAGAAGGUCAAAGAUUUU